rnacentral:rRNA from 1 species
UACGUAGGGUGCAAGCGUUAAUCGGAAUUACUGGGCGUAAAGCGUGCGCAGGCGGUUAUGUAAGACAGGUGUGAAAUCCCCGGGCUUAACCUGGGAACUGCAUUUGUGACUGCAUAGCUAGAGUACGGUAGAGGGGGAUGGAAUUCCGCGUGUAGCAGUGAAAUGUGUAGAUAUGCGGAGGAACACCGAUGGCGAAGGCAAUCCCCUGGGCCUGCACUGACGCUCAUGCACGAAGGCCAGGGGAGCAAACGGG